rnacentral:rRNA from 1 species
AGCUUGUACAGGUGCUGCAUGGCUGUCGUCAGCUCGUGUCGUGAGAUGUUCGGUUAAGUCCGCUAACGAGCGCAACCCUCGCUGUGUGUUACAAGUGUCACACGGAACUGCCGGUCAUAAACCGGAGGAAGGUGGGGAUGACGUCAAGUCAGCAUGGCCUUUAUAUCCUGGGCUACACACACGCUACAAUGGGAAGGGACAAUAGGUUGCGAAGCCGCGAGGCGGAGCCAAUCCAGCAAAACUUCCCUCAGUUCAGAUUGCAGGCUGCAACCCGCCUGCAUGAAGUUGGGGUUGCUAGUAAACGCAGGUCAGCCAUACUGCGUUGAAUACGUUCCCGGGGCUU